rnacentral:rRNA from 1 species
UACGUAGGGUGCAAGCGUUAAUCGGAAUUACUGGGCGUAAAGCGUGCGCAGGCGGUGAUGUAAGACAGGUGUGAAAUCCCCGGGCUCAACCUGGGAACUGCAUUUGUGACUGCAUCGCUAGAGUACGGCAGAGGGGGAUGGAAUUCCGCGUGUAGCAGUGAAAUGCGUAGAUAUGCGGAGGAACACCGAUGGCGAAGGCAAUCCCCUGGGCCUGUACUGACGCUCAUGCACGAAAGCGUGGGGAGCAAACAGG